CGUCUAUAUACGUAUAGCAUAUCAAUAAGCGGAGGAAAAGAAACUAACUAGGAUUCCCUCAGUAACGGCGAGUGAAGCGGGAAGAGCUCAAAUUUGAAAUCUUCAAGGUUCUACCUUGACGAAUUGUAGUUUAAAGAAGUGCUUUCUGUUGGAGUUUUGGUAAAAGUUCUUUGGAAUAGGGACAUCAUAGAGGGUGAGAAUCCCGUAUUUGACCAUUAUUUCCAACUUUGUGAUACACUUUCAAAGAGUCGGAUUGUUUGGGAAUGCAGUCCAAAAUGGGUGGUAAAUUUCAUCUAAAGCUAAAUACUGGCGAGAGACCGAUAGCGAACAAGUACCGUGAGGGAAAGAUGAAAAGAACUUUGAAAAGAGAGUUAAACAGUACGUGAAAUUGUCAAAAGGGAAAGCGUUUGACACCAGUGUUGUUUUCUCGAAAAUCAAUUAAAAAGAAGUUGGAUUUUGUAUUGUAAUUGACCUUUAUCAGCUUACUGCUACUCUUUUCCUUGUCUUUUUUAAUGCACUUUUCGUUUAACAAGUCAACAUCAAUUUCUUUUGUUGUAAAAGAGGUCAUUGGAAGGUGGCUUUCUUUUCGGAGAAAGUGUUUAUAGCCUUUGGCUUCUGCAAUCGGAGAGAUUGAGGUCUGCAGCGUAGAUCCUUCGGGGUUAGAUACAUUUGUGCUAAGUUAUAGCCUUUCAUAGACAACUUGUUGACUAUGAUCAGUCAUGUAGCUUACUCGCUUAUGUCAUUUUACCUACGCUUAGGAUGUUACGAUCAGCUGAGCGCG
rnacentral:rRNA from 1 species